AGAGAAUAGAUACCCCGGUAGUCCCAGCCGUAAACGAUGCUCGCUAGGUGUCAGGCAUGGCGCGACCGUGUCUGGUGCCGCAGGGAAGCCGUGAAGCGAGCCACCUGGGAAGUACGGCCGCAAGGCUGAAACUUAAAGGAAUUGGCGGGGAGCACAACAACGGGUGGAGCCUGCGGUUUAAUUGGACUCAACGCCGGACAACUCACCGGGGGCGACAGCAAUAUGUAGGCCAAGCUGAAGACUUUGCCUGAAUCGCUGAGAGGAGGUGCAUGGCCGUCGCCAGUUCGUACUGUGAAGCAUCCUGUUAAGUCAGGCAACGAGCGAGACCCGUGCCCACUGUUACCAGCAUGUCCUGGA
rnacentral:rRNA from 1 species